UUUACAUAUAAAAAAGCAUAAUUGUUGCAUUGUCACAACCACCAGGUUAAUCCCUGUGCAUUUAAUAGAUACAUAGCAAAAUUGUUCCGGGGAACAGAAGCGAGAAAAAGAUGCAUGGGAGACCUGAAUAGGGCAAUAGACCUAAUAUUGUACCGAAUAACCAAGGAGUUUUGGGAGGUCACUCGGACAAGGUUCAGACUCCAAGUGCUGUUAAACUAGAGCUAUUUACAGAAACCAUUCGUCUAAAACAUACAUUAACCGCGUACAGUUAAA
rnacentral:lncRNA from 1 species